UAGCCGGCCUGAGAGGGUGACCGGCCACACUGGGACUGAGACACGGCCCAGACUCCUACGGGAGGCAGCAGUGGGGAAUAUUGCACAAUGGGCGMAAGCCUGAUGCAGCGACGCCGCGUGAGGGAUGACGGCCUUCGGGUUGUAAACCUCUUUCAGUAGGGAAGAAGCGAAAGUGACGGUACCUGCAGAAGAAGCACCGGCUAACUACGUGCCAGCAGCCGCGGUAAUACGUAGGGUGCGAGCGUUAUCCGGAAUUAUUGGGCGUAAAGAGCUCGUAGGCGGUUUGUCGCGUCUGUCGUGAAAGUCCGGGGCUUAACCCCGGAUCUGCGGUGGGUACGGGCAGACUAGAGUGCAGUAGGGGAGACUGGAAUUCCUGGUGUAGCGGUGGAAUGCGCAGAUAUCAGGAGGAACACCGAUGGCGAAGGCAGGUCUCUGGGCUGUAACUGACGCUGAGGAGCGAAAGCAUGGGGAGCGAACAGGAUUAGAUACCCUGGUAGUCCAUGCCGUAAACGUUGGGCAC
rnacentral:rRNA from 1 species